GAUGAACGCUGGCGGCGUGCCUAAUACAUGCAAGUCGAGCGAACAGACGAGGAGCUUGCUCCUCUGACGUUAGCGGCGGACGGGUGAGUAACACGUGGAUAACCUACCUAUAAGACUGGGAUAACUUCGGGAAACCGGAGCUAAUACCGGAUAAUAUAUUGAACCGCAUGGUUCAAUAGUGAAAGACGGUUUUGCUGUCACUUAUAGAUGGAUCCGCGCCGCAUUAGCUAGUUGGUAAGGUGACGGCUUACCAAGGCAACGAUGCGUAGCCGACCUGAGAGGGUGAUCGGCCACACUGGAACUGAGACACGGUCCAGACUCCUACGGGAGGCAGCAGUAGGGAAUCUUCCGCAAUGGGCGAAGGCCUGACGGAGCAACGCCGCGUGAGUGAUGAAGGUCUUCGGAUCGUAAAACUCUGUUAUUAGGGAAGAACAAAUGUGUAAGUAACUAUGCACGUCUUGACGGUACCUAAUCAGAAAGCCACGGCUAACUACGUG
rnacentral:rRNA from 1 species